CACAGAGACCAUGACGGAAAUUCAUCUUCCAGAAAGUCCCAGAGCAGCGUCCACACCCCUGAAAAAACCAAGAUGUGAGGUGUCUGCUGUUGAUUCCAGCUUCCACCUCAGUGACAGUGCAAGCUCAGUGAACUGUUCAAGCCUGGCUGAUCACCUGAUAACUCCUGUCAUCUGGUUGUGACAGCAUGAGGAUGUCCUCACACACCUGUAACCUAUCAGCUCAUCUGGCAGAAUAGAGAGAGAAGAGACAACACCACAUCUCCUGUUCCUGGAAAGCCUUCAGCCAUCCUUCGAUGACUGAGAACCUCCAUCAGCUCUGUCUCCUGUCUGCCUACAAUUAUUAUAAUAAAUAUUGUGUUUGACAAGUUU